GUGAGUAACGCGUGGGUAACCUGCCCUGUACACACGGAUAACAUACCGAAAGGUAUGCUAAUACGGGAUAACAUGUAAUGAUCGCAUGGUCGAUACAUCAAAGCUCCGGCGGUACAGGAUGGACCCGCGUCUGAUUAGCUAGUUGGUGAGGUAAUGGCUCACCAAGGCGACGACCAGUAGCCGACCUGAGGGAAAGAUCGGCCACGUUGGAACUGAGACACGGUCCAAACUCGUGCGGGAGGCAGCAGUGGGGAA
rnacentral:rRNA from 1 species